UCAUUCCACUCUGUCAGAUUCGGCUGGCUUCGCGCUACGUUUCUUCGCCAAGAAAACGGGCGCCUUUUCUCGUGGGGCGGCGCGACAAAUGGCACAAAGUAGACGAAAGUAUGAACUGGGAGCACGGCACAUAGGAGAUUCGCAACCUGAAAGUUGGUCAGGAUAAAUCGGUCUCCUGAACCUGCAAGCCUGCAACAUUCCGAUCUCGAACAACUCGGAAGAACGAGAAGAAAAGGUAUAGUAAAAAGAAGAUGGCACUUUUAGGUAUUCAACCUCCCCGAAUCAAUCAGAGCAGGAACGGAAUUUGUUCUUCUUUUUUUACAGCCACAUAUAUCAUAUGCAUUGCGUAUCGACACAUGGGAUCGAUGCUUUUGUUGCCAUCAGGAAAGCCAAUAAAGCUAUAGCCAGCUAAUCACACCACAGUGACAGAACAGAAAAAUAGAAAUGGUGGUGGAGAGGAGCUUUUUUCUUUACUUUUCUAUGUCGAGUCAUGAUGUAAUAUUGGAUUGAUUAACACAACAUAUGGUGCGACCACAGUCACAGCGGACCGAGCAGAGACGAGUGCUUUGGCGUCGGCAUGUGGCUAGCGGGCUAGCGGCAGACGAUGCAGAGGACGACCGCGAUGAUGAGGAUCAGGAUGAGGAGCGGCAGGGAUAUGAUCAGCACGAACUCCAUCCGCCGCUUGCCUGCAGACACAAUCGAUCCAAAGUUUAAUCUUCCAUUCUUGUUUUUUCUUUGUACUUCGAGCAACAGAAAAUUGCUACUCUCAACUCUCAAGAGGGGUGGGAAAGCAAAGCAAUAUAAAAAAUGCUAUGCCAUUGCUUUCCCAGUCCCUCUCUCUGAACUGCUGUUCUACAGCCUGUGGAUCUGAUGCUCCAACAGUGGGUCAGACCCUCUAAUCGUGCAGAAAGAUUCAAACAGGAAUGAGUUACUCCCUCCCUCCGAUCCAAAAUAAGUAUCGUGGUUUUAGUUCAAAUUUGCAAAGAACUUGUAAUUCAUAUUUCCUGAGCCGCACCAAAUCUUGUAAGGAUUGCUUGUAACUUGUCAAGCAUCUGCCUCGAUCUUGGCUUGUUCGAGGCUUGGAUGCUCAGCAAAGGCAAAGCCAACCCCUUUAUUAUUACCAAAGGUGGGGGGGAUCUAAUUCCCUUGAAUGACCACAUCAAUUAGAGAAUUAUCAGUGAAACGAUUGAUUCGAUUCCUCGUUGGCGUGCCGUCCUUUCGCAUGGGUCAAACCUGGCUAAAUAAAGCUCUCUAGAACAGAAGAUUGUAGGUGAUAAGACUAUAGGUUCCUGAUCCAUUAUAAUUGGUGAAACUCCCUCGGAUUUGACUGAAUUAGAACAACUGCUAUAGUCCCCUUCCCCCCUCGACAGAUCAGUCAUAAGCAGCAGCAGCAGCUGGGUGGUCUAAUUCGAGCUAAAUAAUUAGUACUUGUACUUGCUAUUAGAAAGCUUGAGAGCAGUACUGACUGGAUCACUCUUGGAGCCAGUCAACAGAGGGGUCACCCGUGCGUGAGUCCUGGAGCUCACUGAGGAAUAAAUCCAAAAACUAAAAACAAGAUUUGACAGGGACAACAUGAGAAUUAAUUGUCUGGUACAGUACCUGCCCAAUCGAGCUGCUGAUCUUGUUGCUGCUCCUGGCCUCCUUGAUCUGUCGGAGACGAGGGGCUUGGGAGGGAGACGGAGGGGAGGAGCGGAGCGGAGCAGUGGAGCUUGGCGAUGGGGCAAGUGGUGUUGGUGCCCGUGCGUGGGCUGAAAUAAUCGCUAAUCAGGCAGAGAAGAGUGGAGUGGAGAAGAAAGGAAGAAAGUAGCAGCGGAAAAACGCGUGACGUGUGGCUCGCGAGUGUGGACCGAGGACUCCGGCGCCACGCCCGGGCCCAGAUGUCAGAGAGACGUCUGCGUUCGGUGGACGGUGCGCCACGUGCGCGCGUCUGGUUGGACGGACAACCAGGGGUGAGCGCAAACGGAAGACAGACGCGGCGAUCACACUCUGCUGAAAGAAGCGUGACCAAUAUCUGAAGAAUUCUUCAGGAGCUUCCUUUUUUUUGCGACAAAGUCAAGAGCUUACAUUACACGGCAGUAUGCACUGUACUGACACCCGCACACACACGAACAGACACACACAUGUAUCAAUCAAUAGUACUACAUUUCAUGUUGAGAAGCUGGUAGGAGAAAAGGGGAUAAAGAUGACACACCGAGCAGGGCUGCAGACAAAAUACACGACGACAGUAUGAGACAGACGCAGCAACAGCACUACUACGAGGCUACAUGACGCAACAUCCGGCGAGGCGAGCUGGCUGGCUGGUUAACGGCAGACGAUGCAGAGGAUGAUGGCGAUGAUCACCACCAGCGCCACGAGGGGCAGCGAGAUUAUCAGUACCAUCUGCAUCUUGCCGGCUGGUCCUCCGACGCGCCGCGUGUAUGUGUGCGGCCUGCAAAACGAGGAUGACGGAAAUAAAACAUCUCAGUGAUGAACAUGUAGCCAGUAGCCCCGUACUAGUGUCAAAAGAUAUAGUAUAUCAGCUCUGCCUAGUCGGAGAACAGCCGUAUCAGCGUACGUACCUGAAGGCUGAAGCUGUGGUUCCUCCUGUUGCUCUGCUCGAGAUAUCUCUCCCAGCUGAUGGCGAGAAGCUUAAGCACGAGGAUGAGGCAGGCAGAGCGAAGCAAACGGAGGGGGUUAAAUGGAGGGAUUAUGGAAGGGAGGGGAGGGGCGGGGAAAGCCAGGGAAUCAAUCCGGGAGAAUGGUUUGCGCUGGAAGUAUCGUCGGUUAAGUACCCCCCGUCCAAGGAGAAUCAGGUAACCCGACGCGUG
rnacentral:lncRNA from 1 species